rnacentral:rRNA from 1 species
UACGUAGGCAGCAAGCGUUGUUCGGAAUUACUGGGCGUAAAGAGUGUGUAGGCGGUUGCUCUAAGUCUGUUGUGAAAUCUCCCGGCUUAACCGGGAGGGUGCGGCGGAAACUUGGAGUGCUUGAGGGUGGGAGAGGUGAGUGGAAUUCCGGUGUAGCGGUGAAAUGCGUAGAUAUCGGGAGGAACACCCGUGGCGAAAGCGGCUCACUGGACCACAACUGACGCUG